UCACUUAUCAAGAAUAAUCAAAACUAAUUGGGUGAUUAGCCCACUAAUCAAAUGUUUGUCAUCAUCAAUUCUAUUAAUUAAUUUCUUAACUCAACAUCCUUCUUUUUUAGAGCUUUCAAAUUACUUUUUUGUUUCUCAUGUAGUUAUCAUUUAUGUAGUUCCAUUGCACAUGUGGCUUAACUUUGAUGUUCACCUGUGUUGACAGGGUUAACGUGUGGCGUGCACCUUCUUGAUUCUACUUGGCAUUUUUAAUGCUUGCACUGAAAUCACAAGGUUUACAAGAGUUGCAGGGUAGUUGUUCAACACGCUAAUUACUGUUCUUUUCUUUCAACAAGCUAUUAAGUUUUGGAUGCCUUAGGAGAACUGUCUUAGAUGAGAGGAUAAAAUGCAAUGAGUAUUGUCUUGCAGCAUUGAUUGGAAAUUUGGAACCUUGCUUCACCAAAAUUUUCAGGUCUCCUAAAUUCGUACUGUAUCCUUUUCAUCCAUAUGUAAUAAUUAAGUUAUAGGGGUUCUGGUACAUUAUUUUCUUCUUUACAAUUAUAUUUCUUUCUUCGGGUGAUGCUAUUUGGUUCAUUGGUAUAGGUUGGGCUUAGUGGCUUACAAAAGACAAUAUCUAUUGACUUCUUUGAAGGUUACACAGAAGUGGUACCAUUGAGGAACAUUGAAAGUCUGUAUACUUGUGGAGAUGUGAAUUUGUAGUAUUGUGUCUAUAUACAUUAUGCACCUCAUUUUAAGUGUGGAA